rnacentral:rRNA from 1 species
UUCAUAAUAACUCAACGAAUCGCAUGGCCUUGCGCCGGCGAUGGUUCAUUCAAAUUUCUGCCCUAUCAACUUUCGAUGGUAUGGUCUUGGCUUACCAUGGUCUCAACGGGUAACGGGGAAUUAGGGUUCGAUUCCGGAGAGGGAGCCUGAGAAACGGCUACCACAUCCAAGGAAGGCAGCAGGCGCGCAAAUUACCCAAUCCCAAUUCGGGGAGGUAGUGACAAUAAAUACUGAUACAGGGCUCUUUUGGGUCUUGUAAUUGGAAUGAGUACAAUCUAAAUCCCUUAACGAGGAACAAUUGGAGGGCAAGUCUGGUGCCAGCAGCCGCGGUAAUUCCAGCUCCAAUAGCGUAUAUUAAAGUUGUUGCCGUUAAAAAGCUCGUAGUUGAACCUUGGGCCUGGCUGAUCUGUCCUCCUAAUCGAGCGUACGGAUUCGGUCGGGCCUUUCCUUCUGGGGAGCCCGAUGCCCUUCACUGGGCGUCGCGGGGAACCAGGACUUUUACCUUGAAAAAAUUAGAGUGUUCAAAGCAGGCCUUUGCUCGAAUACAUUAGCAUGGAAUAAUAGAAUAGGACAGAGGUUCUAUUUUGUUGGUUUCUAGGACCGCUGUAAUGAUUAAUAGGGAUAGUCGGGGGCGUCCGUAUUCAAUUGUCAGAGGUGAAAUUCUUGGAUUUAUUGAAGACGAACUACUGCGAAAGCAUUCGCCAAGGAUGUUUUCAUUAAUCAGUGAACGAAAGUUAGGGGAUCGAAGACGAUCAGAUACCGUCGUAGUCUUAACCAUAAACUAUGCCGACUAGGGAUCGGACGGUGGUUUUUUUAUGCCCCCGUUCGGCACCUUACGA